UUCCUGAGGUGGGAUGAAGCAGAGCAUUGGGGCCUCCCAUAAGGGUCCACAAAGGCCUGCUACACCCCAUCACACAAAAUAGGGAAUUAAACUUAAGUUUUUUUCUGUUGCAGACUAAUGUCCUAACUGCUAGACCAGUCUUCUUCUCAUAAUCAGAAUGUGGGGUGAAGAGGCUUUAAAUCUCUCAGGCCAUGGACGACAAUCUGCUGCCCCAUGCAAAAUAUCAACAUGCUGGCCCCCUCUUCAAAGUCCUCGUCCAACAGAAGUAGCCCAGUUGUCCCCCAUCAUGUUCGGGUCAGAUACUAUGGAAAUGGGAGCCACAGAGACAACUUCCUUCUUGUAAAAUCUGAGAGGACAUUUGAAUCUUACAUCAUAGGAAUUUCCUGUGUCUGCUAUCAAGAAGAG